rnacentral:rRNA from 1 species
GACGAACCGUGCGAACGUUAUUCGGAUUUAUUGGGCGUUAAAGAGUGCGUAGGUGGCAGUGUAAGUCGGGGGUGAAAAUACGUAUCGGCUCAACCGUGGAAUUGCCUUCGAUACUGCAUUGCUUGAGGGGGAUAGGGGCAGUGGAACGUUCCGGAUGGAGCGGUGAAAUGUGUUGAGAUCGGAAGGAACGCCAGUGGCGAAAGCGACUUCCUGGACCAAUACUGACGCUCAUGGUGC